ACGCUGGCGGCACGCCUAACACAUGCAAGUCGAACGAAGUAGCAAUACUUAGUGGCAGACGGGUGAGUAACAUGUAGGUAUCUGCCCUUUGGCCUGGAAUAACACGAGGAAACUUGUGCUAAUACCGGAUAAGUCUUUACAGAGAAAGCUUUAUGCACCAUUGGAUGAGCCUGCACUUGAUUAGUUUGUUGGUGGGGUAAUGGCCUACCAAGACUGUGAUCAAUAGCUGAUUUGAGAGGAUGAUCAGCCACAUUGGGACUGAGACACGGCCCAAACUCCUACGGGAGGCAGCAGUGGGGAAUCUUGCACAAUGGAGGAAACUCUGAUGCAGCGAUGCCGCGUGAGUGAAGAAGGCCUUUGGGUUGUAAAGCUCUUUCGUCGGGGAAGAAAAUGACUGUACCCGAAUAAGAAGGUCCGGCUAACUUCGUGCCAGCAGCCGCGGUAAUACGAAGGGACCUAGCGUAGUUCGGAAUUACUGGGCUUAAAGAGUUCGUAGGUGGUUGAAAAAGUUAGUGGUGAAAUCCCAGAGCUUAACUCUGGAACUGCCAUUAAAACUUUUUAGCUAGAGUAUGAUAGAGGAAAGCAGAAUUUCUAGUGUAGAGGUGAAAUUCGUAGAUAUUAGAAAGAAUACCAAUUGCGAAGGCAGCUUUCUGGAUCAUUACUGACACUGAGGAACGAAAGCAUGGGUAGCGAAGAGGAUUAGAUACCCUCGUAGUCCAUGCCGUAAACGAUGUGUGUUAGACGUUGGAAAUUUAUUUUCAGUGUCGCAGCGAAAGCGAUAAACACACCGCCUGGGGAGUACGACCGCAAGGUUAAAACUCAAAUGAAUUGACGGGGACCCGCACAAGUAGUGGAGCAUGUGGUUUAAUUCGAAGAUACGCGCAGAACCUUACCAACACUUGACAUGUUCGUCGCGACUCUAAGAGAUUAGAGUUUUCGGUUCGGCCGGACGAAACACAGGUGCUGCAUGGCUGUCGUCAGCUCGUGUCGUGAGAUGUUGGGUUAAGUCCCGCAACGAGCGCAACCCUCACUUUUAGUUGCCAUCAUUAAGUUGGGCACUCUGAAAGAACUGCCAGUGAUAAGCUGGAGGAAGGUGGGGAUGACGUCAAGUCCUCAUGGCCCUUACGUGUUGGGCUACACACGUGCUACAAUGGUAUCUACAACAGGAAGCAAGACUGCGAAGUUAAGCAAAUCCCUAAAAGAUACCUCAGUUCGGAUUGCACUCUGCAACUCGAGUGCAUGAAGCUGGAAUUACUAGUAAUCGUGGAUCAGCGUGCCACGGUGAAUGCGUUCCCGGGUCUUGUACACACCGCC
rnacentral:rRNA from 1 species